AGGUUUGCGUUUGGUGAGUCGCCGCCGGCGACCUUCCCCUCCCCUCCAUUGCCAGAGCCACACUCCACGCACAUACACACAUACAUCCAUGUAUACCAUAGACAUACACGCCUACGCCCCGCACUUGUACAUAGACACUACUGCACCCCGCCGAGAUAAGCCUUGUGCAGCACUCCCUGCCUCUGCGGUAAGAGGGGCUCCCUCAUUACACGGUCAUGAAGGUGUUCUGCCGUUUUGCUCCGCCGCCGGCGGCAGUCCCCGGUGUGGACGCACCAGCGGGCGGGCACUGUCGUAUCCCACGGGAACCAGCUGAGGCCGUCCUCCUCAUGCGAGCUGAAGGACCCUCCUCGGCUGCGACAAGGACAACGGCCGCGUCUCCCAUGGCCACCGGAGCGCGCGUCUACCUCGCUGACCCGACCACUUUCAGCAAGGCGACGUUCUCCUGCGACGGCGUAUUUCUUCCGUCAACACCCACAGCAGCAACACCGGCGGCUAUGGCUGCGCAGCAACAACACCUUUACGACGUGACGUGCAAGAGCCUGCUGGUGCCGGCGCCGCGCCCACUCGAGCGGCAACGGCGAUGGUGCAGCAGCUCUCCCGUACCGACGGCGGCGCGUCGCAUUUACCUCGCCUACGGGCAGACAGCGAGCGGCAAGACGUACAGCCUGUUCGGCGAGACCUCGACGAGCUCUGGCGUCGAGGGACUGUCCCCUGCGGCAGGUGUGGUGCCCCGCUACCUGCACGACGUCUUCAGCAGAAGGAACGGCGCAGUGCAGCGGCGGCGUCUAUGCGGCACCGGCCGUGGCAGCGGCGACGGCGCCGCCGAUGACGUCUUUGUCGACCUUUCGUGCUUUGAGGUGUACAACGAGGCCGCGACGGAUCUGGUGGCGCUCUCCGUCGCGCUGUCGACGAUCGACUUCACGUGCUCCACCGGCGCGGCUGGUUUGGCACGAGGUAGCGUGGACCGCCGCCUGAGCUCCAAGACUCCAACUGACGCUGCAGCAGGAGUGACCCCCUCCGUGAGGUCUUCCGACCUACGGCGGCAGCUGCCGGUGUGGAUGGCGCACGAACUGUACCGCAGUGAGCAGCAGCCGGACGGCGCUGACGCGUACACGCAAGAGGACUUGUGGGGCACGCGUAGCGAGAGCUCCGCGUCGGUGGAGACAGGCUGCGCCGCGACCGCUGGAGCAGCAGCGGCACCGUUCGCAUUAUCACCGACCCUGUCGCGGUUUCUAAAGACCGAGUACAAGGCUACUGAAAAGCAGCAGGUGUUACGGUCACUGGAGCGGGCACGAUGCACGACCUUCGCCGAAGCUCAAGCGGUCCUGCAGGCCCUGCUUGCUCUGCGGCAGGAGUGCGCCACCCGUCGCAACCAGAGCUCCUCCCGUGGCCAUCUCGUCCUGUGCGUCCGGGUCUACGCGCCAGCGGCGCGUGACCAUCCGGCAGGUGAGUGGAUUAUGCAGCACGAGACGGCGUUUGUGGAUCUGGCCGGGUCAGAAAGCGGUAAGCUCGCUGAUGCCGACGUAGCCGAUGUGCACGCCUCUAAGGUGGAGUCCCAUCAGCCGAGGCGGCGAGGCCAAGCAGCCACCGGAGCAGCGUCCUCGUCGCGCGCGAGCAGUCUGCACAGCCGCGUCUCACUAGAUACCUCCAUGCAAUCUGGCGUCUCCUCGCAGCACAGCGGCAUCAGCAGCGGCACCACUACUGUAAGCUCGGUAUAUCAUCGCUCUCUCCUCCGCCCAUCUCCCGAGGAAGACAAGAGGGCGGCACGGGUGCGGCGGCGGCGCGAGACGAGGUCUAUCAACGCAAGUCUCCUGGCCCUUCGCAAGGUCUUCCGUGCUCUCUAUGAAGCGACGCGGUUGAGCCACACAGCCGUCGCUCAGGGGUCAGCAGCAGCAGCAGCGGCGAGUAAGCUCCCACGCCGGCCUCCGCUGCACCACGCCCCUUUCAAGGACAGCGCGUUAACGGCGAUCCUCGAGCCUUUUCUGGUGCCGCAGCCAUCUGCAGCGACUCCAUCAUCAUCCACCUCUCCGAGUGAACCAGAGGGUGCCGCCGCCGUGCAGGUUGUGUUGCUUGUGUGCUGCUCCAGUAGGUCCGUCGACUUCUUCGAGACAGUCGCCUCCCUGCGGUUGGGGGCAGAGGCCGCUGCAGUGAAACCGGAGGUCGUCCUGCGCGCGCUGCCGGUGCAGCAGCGCGCGCAACAACAUCAGCUGCACCUCAAGCCACACUACAACAGCGCCGGCCGCCGCCACCGCGAGGGCAGCGGGUGCGCGGCAUGUUUGCCUCCGCGGCUCUGCCGCAGCGCGUCGGCCCCGAGUCGACGGUUGGCGCUUUCAGGCGAUGAGGAUGAACAGGGGGAGGUGGACGACCUCAGCGAGUGCACCACCGCGCCCGGCAUCAGGGCUGUGUCAAGUGAGCGUCACGACGGGUGCAGACCUGGUGAGGUCGUCAUGAGUGCCGCCGACGCUGCCCGCCUCUGCGAUGAGGCUCGCCAGUACAAGAAAACGGCCCAGCAGCUUUACAAGCAGUGCAAGUCACUCUGCGAGAGCUAUGACGCAUGCGUUGAUGAGCUGCAGUGGUGCCGCGCCGCGCUGUCGGAGCGGGACACUCGCGUCGCCGAGCUGGAGGCAGCGCUCGAAAAGGCCACUCGUGCAUGCGCAGCAGACUCGUCGAGGCAGCCGCAGCAGCCUCUACCGGAGCCGGUGCAGCCGCGCACCCCAAAAGCAAGCCGCAACAGUAUCGCCGCCCACGGAUCACCCGCUGCACGAACGCCUCACCCGCUGCGCCUUCAGCGCAGCAGCCGAGAAGCCGCUGCGGAUGAGUCCUGUGAAGUCAUCCCAGCAGUUAACGACGGGGGUAAGCUGGAGGUGAACCCUGACCCUGUGCCGUCCGCCACAGCGUCGGUCACCGCAGGGAGUAUGCGAGCUACUUCCACCAACUCCACAGCACGAGAAGGCAGCGGGCGGUGGAUGGUGAGCGUGUCGCCCUUCUCCACCGCGUCGCUCGCAGAAGGAACGGCAGCCCGCAUGGCGACGGUGCGCGAGGACGUGGAGAACGUGAAGGACGUUGUCGAUGACGCCGGCAGCAGCGGCAACAGCAUUCGCCGUCAAUCCUGCGGGUCAACCGUUGAGCGGCAGCAGCAGCACGCUCGAUGCAUCAUUGACACGCUCCUGGCGCGGCAGAUAUUCCCUUCAGACGAGCCAGGGGAACCGACCCAGUCCCUGUCACCACCCUGCGCAAGCUCUCCCUAUCCGGUCUUGCCCACGCUCUCAGCGCGCGGCAUUGCGGCGUCAGCAUCGUCACCAGCGCAGGAGCAGCGGCGCGCACGAAGUCACAGCAGCUGUCAAGACAGCGAUAGCGACGCAUGCGUUGCUCAAGGAUGCGAGUCCGACAGCGAUGGGAGCCCGCUCACAGCGGAGGCGGACGCGGCAGCCGGUGAGCCGGCACGUGCGAAAGAGGUGGCCGAGGCCAGUGUUGCUGUUGCGGCAACCUCUGCUUCCAUGUCGGCGCCGCGUCAGUCUUACAACACCGCCCGCUCCUCCUCCGCCGGUGCAACGGCGUCGUCCUUGCUGGAAGGGAGGGGCAGCGUCAGUGUCGGGCGGUCUUCCUGCGACAGUGUCGCGGAGGGGCCGGAGGCUGAGUUAAUGGCCUUUCUGUCCUCUGCGGCUACCGCCGUGCAAGGGGUCAUUUUACCAGUGGCAUCAGCCUCAGCAGUGUUAGCCACUGCGACAUGGUCGAAGGACUUGGGCGUCAGUGUGUCGCACACCGUUCCGUACGACUCUCCACUUCGUGCGACGACGAGGCGGAUGAUCGCCAUGUCGAUGGAUCGCAACCGCGAGGUGCCUCACGCAGAGUCGGCGGUCGGCGGUGAUGAGGAGGACGCCGUCGAGGAAGUGGUGAUCCGGCUGAAGAAGCAAGGCCACAGUGGCGCUCUUCACAUCCCUGCGGCGACCUGUCAGUCGACGGAAACUGUCGGGCAUGUCGAGGUGAACGGCAGGGCGGCAUCAAAGCCACCCUGUCACAGCCCCUCUCUUGGCGCAGUUUCCUCGGUGCCCGCGACGCCGUCGGCAUUGCCCCUGGGGCAGGUGUGCCAACUGUGAUGUGAAGAGAAGGGGGGAGCCGGUCGACGUGCUGGAGGGAAGCUGGUGGCGCGCUGGCGUCACGGCGCCCCCUCUACUUCCGCCUCUGUGUGUCCUCUUGCGCUUGCGCUCACCAUGUCCGCCACACACAUACCUUCAUCCGCAUUCACUCACAAGCAUGCAUACAGCCAUACGGAGAAGAGGGAGGGUCGCAGAUGGUCAAUUAACGGCCAAGACACUCGCAUCGUGUGGAGACGACAGACUCAUCGAUGCAGCUGCGCUCGUUUCUUUUUGUGUGUGUGUGUGUGUGUUUGCAUGUGGCGAUCAUGCAGCCCUGACGAUGGGAGCAUCGAGCAUCUUGG
rnacentral:misc_RNA from 1 species